GGUUGUGGCUCAGAGGAAGAGUACUUGCCUGGCACCUGUAAGGCACUGGGUUCAAUUCUCAGCACCA
rnacentral:tRNA from 1 species